GCCAAGAAGGGGGUCUGUUUAUAAAGAGCAUCAACUCGCUUAGGCCAUGACGUUCACCCAUCCCUUCCUCUGGAGCAACCGCUGCCCUGUGAAUAAGAGCCGAUGGAGGAGAUCUCAGCUUCGGUGGUGAUGACAGAACAUGAUUUCGGUUCUGCUCCUAAACCAGGUGCACUGGAUGCUGCUGCUGUAAACAUACAGCAAUUGGAAGAAACAGUCAAGGCGCUGAUGAGAGCUGUCACAGCUGAAAGUGGUUCAAGUGCAUUUUCACAGAUUCUGUGUCUCAGACGCGGACAUCCUUUUUUACACCAGAUUCACGUCAAGAGAUGUUUUUUGUGACUUCUGGGAGGUUAUUCAACCAUCUGCCUCCAAGUUGGUUUAUUGGUCGAAAGCUCAGAAAAAGAAACAAACAUUUGAACCCAUUUCUCCCGGUCCAACGUGUAGACUGCAACUGGUUGAGUUUUUUCUCUUCUGCUGCCGGGUUGCUGCAGGCCUGCAAGAGAAGGUGCUGGCUGACAUGUUUCAGAGCUGACUGAACGAAGUGGACUGCUGGAUUUACUGGAGCCAGGAGAUGGCUGCAUGGCAGACAAGGGUUUCACCAUCGAGACGCCACUAGCUGAUCGUGGGGCAACGCUGAUUAUACCACCCUUCAAGAUGACAGUUCACUGAAGAGGAUGCUCUGAAAACACAAGCAAUCGCUCGACUUCGAAUCCUCGUAGAAAGAGCAAUAGGCAGAGUCAAG